GAUGAACGCUAGCGGCAGGCUUAACACAUGCAAGUCGAGGGGCAUCAGGGAGUAGCAAUACUCUGCUGGCGACCGGCGCACGGGUGCGUAACGCGUAUGCAACCUACCCUUUACAGGGGGAUAACGGAGUGAAAAUUCCACUAAUACCCCAUAUGAUUGGUUUUUCGCAUGGGAGAUCAAUGAAAGUUUCGAUGGUAUAGGAUGGGCAUGCGUGACAUUAGCUAGUUGGUAAGGUAACGGCUUACCAAGGCGACGAUGUCUAGGGGAGCUGAGAGGCUUAUCCCCCACACUGGUACUGAGACACGGACCAGACUCC
rnacentral:rRNA from 1 species